AUGGAGCCGAUGGAAACCGAGGUCGCCGGCGAGGAGAACGCGCCCAGUAAUACCGACGACGCCGUUGCCACCGAAGGAGAAGCCGGCGUUGAUGAUCCUGCCGGCGAAGAGGCCGCCAAAGCUACCACCGCAGAAGCUGGCGAGGGAUCCGGCGAUCGCACUGACGGCCCCGAGGCCGCAGGAGCGUCAGGCGCUACACUGACCGCCGAUCCCUCCGCCGCUGCUGCAGCGCCAGGCUCCGAAGAGCCCCAGCCCGGCGCCUAUUUGAAGGCCGGCGACGGCAUCUUCAUCAAGCUCCCUUGGGCGUCAAGCUCUAGGGCGCCAGUCGAAGGAGAGAUCUUUGAUGGAGAGGUGCUCUCCUCCGCUGGGCUGAUGCUGGUCGACGCGCCAAGCAGCAGCAGCGACGAGCCUGAGGAGGAGCAGCUACUGCGGAAGCUGUUGUCGCUCUACCGCGCCCGACAGGCCAAGCUGGUAUCCCGAGAAGCGCUUGUCGUGACGGCGGGAGUGGACAUCGAGAAGCGCGCGGAGGAGCUCCGGAGUUUUAGGCAGGAGACUCUCCGGUCCCUGGCAGAGGAGCGGGAGCAAGUCGCCGAGGAGCGGAAAGCCUUCCUCCUCGAGAAGGCUGAAGUUGAAGAGCAACGGCGGCUUGUUGCCGAGAAGCUAUCCACGCAGGAAGGCGAGUUGGCGCAGCGCAAGGUCAACCUUGACAGCCACGAGGAGGAGCUUGCCACGCGCGAGCAAACAUUUGGCGUGGCUCUCAAGGAAGCAAAGGAUGUUGCCGCAGCUGCCGAGGCCACCAAGAAGGAGCUGGAGACGAAAGUGGCGCAGCUGGAGGCCAAUCUCAAGCUGAGCGGCAAGGAGCUUGCUGCGCUCAAGCAUGAGCGCGAGAAGGACGCCUACACCCAUGGCGAGCUGCAGGUUCUUCUCGCCGAGAGGAGCAAGGAGCUUAGCGCCGCCAAGGACUCCAACGCGGAUCUUGAGUUGAAGCUGGCUAUUUGA
rnacentral:rRNA from 1 species